AUAUUUAUAUAGUAAAUAGUAUUUGCAUUGUUAAGUUCUUUAUGUUAUGAAGUAGAUCAUUUUAUAUAGAAGAUACAUUUAUUGAUUUUGUUACCCAAAAAUAGAUUUAAAUUUAGUUCCGGCGAAGCCUGUGCCAGCCGCCGCGGUUAUACAGGCGGAGUAAAAGUAUUUUUGUUACGGAAAUAAAAUUUUUUAUAGGUUGUAUGCAUUUAGGUGAAAUUUGUGCUUGGGUUUUAGAUUUUGUUUUUAUGGAGUUCUGUAUUAAAUUAGGAUUAGAUACCCUAUUAUUCAGAAAAAAGAGGUUGGUAGUAAUUUGAGGGUUUUAAAAUCAAAAGAUUAUGGCGGUAUUUUAAGCUAUUUAGAGGAAUUUGUUCUAUAAUGGAUGUGGCUCAGAGAUCUGACUUGGGUUGGUUAGGCAGUUUGUAUAUCGCUAUCAUGUAAUAAUAUUGAUUGAUUAAUAAUUGAGAUUGUAAUUAACAAUAACGUUAGGUCAAAAUGCAGCUAAAGUUCAAGGUUGAAAUAAAUUACUUUUAUUUAUAUAUGGUUUUUUGAAAGAUAGGAUUUAGGAUUUAAUAGUAAAUUAAAAUUAUAAUGUUUGGUUGAAUGAAGCUCUAGGAUAUGCACAUAUCGCCCGUCACUCUCAGGGAUGAGAUAAGUCGUAACAAAGUAAAAGUACCGGAAGGUGUUUUU
rnacentral:ncRNA from 1 species